GUGCUCGCUUCCGCAGCACCUAUACUAAAAUUGGAACAAUACAGAGAUUAGCAUGGCCCCCGCGCAAGGAUGACAUGCAAAGUCGUAAAGAGUUCAUGGUCAGU